rnacentral:misc_RNA from 1 species
UGGACACGACUCGGCUGCCACGUACCGACUCCCAGAAGGCAGUGCGUAGAAAGAGGUGUUUACUUCCGGUGAUGGCCAACGACACAUGUCGAGGUCAAACGUCAGAAUCGUUUGCAUCAAAUUCUGAUUUCACCUCAAAUAUUUCCGCUGCACUUGGAGAAUUCUUGAAACACGGUAAAAUCAUUCUUGAAGAUGGCAUUGCAGAAUUUAACAGGAAAGACAGUCUUGAAAAUUUCAUUUCUUCAAAAGUGGGGAAAAUGUUUCAGCUCGCCAAAACAUACAAUACACUGUUUAGAAGCAUUGGCUCUCAAAAUCGAAAGGAACUGGAUUUACAGCUAGGAAAGCAUUUCAGAAAUUCUUCUGUAAAAGAGCUGGCAAAUAAUCUCAUUGAAUUUGAGAUAGAAUGGGAUCAGUUUCUUCACACUGUAGAUACUGCUCUCCAUGGUGAGUCCCAUGGGAAAACUAAAACACUUGAGGUUGGAGAUUAUUUAUCCCAGCAACUAACAGUUGUUGAUGUACUAGAGGGAAAUUCAGUAACUCUGGACAAAUUACUCCCAGUUUUCACUUCUCCUUAUUUACUACUUGUUCUCCAGCGCCAUUUUGCAUGACUACCCUGACGUAAACAUGUAAUGGAGCUAGAAACUUGGAAGUCAGAUUUGAAAGCUUUAGGCUGCGAUGUUCUACUUCUUUUCUUUGGAUCACAGAAGUCUAUAAAGCAGUGGUUGGCAGAAACAAAAUCUUCUUUUCCUUCUUUUCAAGAUUCUUCAAAAAAUAUUUACUCUGCUCUUGGAUUACGUAGAUCUGUCAAGGAAGUGUUUUGUAUGAAGACCACACAAUAUUAUGCUGCUGAAAUGGCUUCUGAUGGGAUUAUCCCAACUCCAUAUAAAGAUUUCAAUGAAGAUAUUUACCAAAUGGGUGGUGAUUUCAUCAUUGACCAAACUGGUAAAAUCUUGUUUACCUAUCGCAGUCAGACUCCAAGUGAUCGACCUUCUGCUGAGCAAAUUUUAGGAACCUUAAAGGAGUUGGUAAUGAAUGUGGCAUACAAGCAACCUUCAGACUCCAUCAGUUUUAUGGUGAGUGAAAUUGAAAAAUUUCGAAAUCAGUCCUGAGACAAUAACAAUGUGGAGAAAACCAACCAACCACUGGAUCUCAUCUACUGUCAGAUGAGGUAGACAUCAGGAUGAGAUGUGGUAUUCACCAGGGUUGGGUUUAAUAUACUUGAAUUUCUUACUGUGUGUUAUAUUUCAAUAAAUUGUAUUCAAGUGUUUCUUGUGUUAUACUUUCCUGCAAUGUCCUUUACUGUUGAAAAGUGUAAUGGCAAUAUUAGAUGUUAUUUUAUGACUGAUUGUAGGUGUUCAAAUGUUUGGUAUAUUUUUGUACUCUUAUUGAACUGUACUCUACCAGUGUUUAUAUUUCCUCAACUAACUUUAUCCAUAUUGUUCCAUGUAUCAUAUGGAUGAAUAAAACUAUGUUCUCGUACAUUUAAAACCUU